UACCCUGUAGAUCCGGACUUGU
rnacentral:miRNA from 2 species